rnacentral:rRNA from 1 species
UACGAAGGGGGCUAGCGUUGUUCGGAAUCACUGGGCGUAAAGCGCACGUCGGCGGACUGUUAAGUCAGGGGUGAAAUCCUGGGGCUCAACCCCAGAACUGCCUUUGAUACUGGCGGUCUUGAGUGUGGGAGAGGUUGGUGGAACUCCGAGUGUAGAGGUGAAAUUCGUAGAUAUUCGGAAGAACACCAGUGGGGAAGGCGGACAACUGGCCCAUUACUGACGCUGAGGUGCGAAAGCGUGGGGAGCAAACAGG